RRAKUUKSAUCCUGGCUCAGAACGAACGCUGGCGGCGUGCCUAACACAUGCAAGUCGAACGGGAUUAGGGGCUUGCUCCUAAUCUAGUGGCGCACGGGUGAGUAACGCGUAGAUAAUCUGCCUGACGAUCUGGGAUAACACUUCGAAAGAGGUGCUAAUACCGGAUAAGCCCACGGAGUCUUUGGAUUCUGCGGGAAAAGGGGGGGACCUUUUGGCCUUCUGUCGUCAGAUGAGUCUGCGUACCAUUAGCUAGUUGGCGGUGUAACGGACCACCAAGGCGACGAUGGUUAGCUGGUCUGAGAGGAUGAUCAGCCACACUGGAACCGAGACACGGUCCAGACUCCUACGGGAGGCAGCAGUGGGGAAUUUUGCGCAAUGGGCGAAAGCCUGACGCAGCAACGCCGCGUGAGUGAUGAAGGCUUUCGGGUCGUAAAGCUCUGUCGAGGGGAAAGAAGUGUAUUGAGGCUAAUAUCCUUGAUACUUGACGGUACCCCUAAAGGAGGCACCGGCUAACUCCGUGCCAGCAGCCGCGGUAAUAC
rnacentral:rRNA from 1 species